rnacentral:rRNA from 1 species
GUCUGGCCUGCUCACUGAAAUUUUUAAAGAGCCGCGGUAUUUUGACCGUGCAAAGGUAGCAUAAUCAUUAGUCUCCUAAUUAGGGGCUGGAAUGAAUGGCUUGACGAGAAAUUAACUGUCUCUUAAUAAAUUUUAAAAUUUAACUUUUGAGUUAAAAGGCUUAAAUUUUUCUUUAGGACGAGAAGACCCUAUAGAGCUUAACAUCUAAAUUAGAUAUUUUUUUAAGAUGGUUUAUUUAUGUUUAAUGGUAAUGUUUUGUUGGGGUG